GACGAACGCUGGCGGCGUGCCUAAUACAUGCGAGUAGAACGCACAGUUUAUACCGUAGCUUGCUACACCAUAGACUGUGAGUUGCGAACGGGUGAGUAACGCGUAGGUAACCUGCCUGGUAGCGGGGGAUAACUAUUGGAAACGAUAGCUAAUACCGCAUAAUAUUAAUUAUUGCAUGAUAAUUGAUUGAAAGAUGCAACUGCAUCACUACCAGAUGGACCUGCGUUGUAUUAGCUAGUAGGUGAGGUAACGGCUCACCUAGGCGACGAUACAUAGCCGACCUGAGAGGGUGAUCGGCCACACUGGGACUGAGACACGGCCCAGACUCCUACGGGAGGCAGCAGUAGGGAAUCUUCGGCAAUGGACGAAAGUCUGACCGAGCAACGCCGCGUGAGUGAAGAAGGUUUUCGGAUCGUAAAGCUCUGUUGUAAGAGAAGAACGGGUGUGAGAGUGGAAAGUUCACACUGUGACGGUAUCUUACCAGAAAGGAACGGCUAACUACGUG
rnacentral:rRNA from 1 species